rnacentral:rRNA from 1 species
UACGAAGGGGGCUAGCGUUGCUCGGAAUCACUGGGCGUAAAGGGUGCGUAGGCGGGUUUUUAAGUCAGAGGUGAAAUCCUGGAGCUCAACUCCAGAACUGCCUUUGAUACUGAAAGUCUUGAGUAUGGGAGAGGUGAGUGGAACUGCGAGUGUAGAGGUGAAAUUCGUAGAUAUUCGCAAGAACACCAGUGGCGAAGGCGGCUCACUGGCCCAUUACUGACGCUGAGGCACGAAAGCGUGGGGAGCAAACA